rnacentral:rRNA from 1 species
AGAGUUUGAUCCUGGCUCAGGAUGAACGCUGGCGGCGUGCCUAAUACAUGCAAGUCGAGCGAACGGACGAGAAGCUUGCUUCUCUGAUGUUAGCGGCGGACGGGUGAGUAACACGUGGAUAACCUACCUAUAAGACUGGGAUAACUUCGGGAAACCGUAGCUAAUACCGGAUAAUAUUUUGAACCGCAUGGUUCAAAAGUGAAAGACGGUCUUGCUGUCACUUAUAGAUGGAUCCGCGCUGCAUUAGCUAGUUGGUAAGGUAACGGCUUACCAAGGCAACGAUGCAUAGCCGACCUGAGAGGGUGAUCGGCCACACUGGAACUGAGACACGGUCCAGACUCCUACGGGAGGCAGCAGUAGGGAAUCUUCCGCAAUGGGCGAAAGCCUGACGGAGCAACGCCGCGUGAGUGAUGAAGGUCUUCGGAUCGUAAAACUCUGUUAUUAGGGAAGAACAUAUGUGUAAGUAACUGUGCACAUCUUGACGGUACCUAAUCAGAAAGCCACGGCUAACUACGUGCCAGCAGCCGCGGUAAUACGUAGGUGGCAAGCGUUAUCCGGAAUUAUUGGGCGUAAAGCGCGCGUAGGCGGUUUUUUAAGUCUGAUGUGAAAGCCCACGGCUCAACCGUGGAGGGUCAUUGGAAACUGGAAAACUUGAGUGCAGAAGAGGAAAGUGGAAUUCCAUGUGUAGCGGUGAAAUGCGCAGAGAUAUGGAGGAACACCAGUGGCGAAGGCGACUUUCUGGUCUGUAACUGACGCUGAUGUGCGAAAGCGUGGGGAUCAAACAGGAUUAGAUACCCUGGUAGUCCACGCCGUAAACGAUGAGUGCUAAGUGUUAGGGGGUUUCCGCCCCUUAGUGCUGCAGCUAACGCAUUAAGCACUCCGCCUGGGGAGUACGACCGCAAGGUUGAAACUCAAAGGAAUUGACGGGGACCCGCACAAGCGGUGGAGCAUGUGGUUUAAUUCGAAGCAACGCGAAGAACCUUACCAAAUCUUGACAUCCUUUGACAACUCUAGAGAUAGAGCCUUCCCCUUCGGGGGACAAAGUGACAGGUGGUGCAUGGUUGUCGUCAGCUCGUGUCGUGAGAUGUUGGGUUAAGUCCCGCAACGAGCG